UUUUAUAUAGUUUAAAAAAAACAUUAUAAUUUCAAUAUAAUAUUAAUAAUAAAUUAUUUAUAAAAA
rnacentral:tRNA from 1 species